rnacentral:misc_RNA from 1 species
UGGGAGUGUCCACACCAUGAGAUG